GACACAGGCCUGGGAAGUGUGAAGAGGGCUGGGAGAAAACCUGCAGGGAGAAACCUCUUCCUGGAGAGAGGGCACUCGGGGCUUACAGGCUGAAGCGUGCUCUGUCUAAAGAGCCCACGAAGAUCUCCUCACACACUCUCCCUCAGGAGCCACAGUGCUACAAAGAAAAGCAGGUCAGCGUGCAUUAUUAAUGACAAGCUAUCGGAGGAUCUAGGACCACAGCCAGAGAGGAGUUCAACUGUGCUAAAGGUGCCGGAGAGAAGAUGAACUCUCAGCCAGGUCAGAGUCCUCAGUUUCCCUUAUUCUCUUCUCUGUGCAAACAUCAGUGAUAAACUACAGUGGUCAGGAGGCAACUGCCCUGCCCUAAGGGCUUAUAGCUGAGCUUCAACUCGAAGGCAAAGGAAGCAAAGUGAGGAGGCACUGGGCAAAGGUACCAGCACAUAAACAGUAGUGGAAAACAGCACAGGAGUGAGAUUUAUUUUUGGUACCAGUUAAAUGUUAUUAAAGGGCUCAGGAACAUACAUACUGGCAGUAGUUGGAGCUGCAAUGCAAGCCUCAGAGGUUCCGUUUUCUGAGUGGCUACAGCUGUACCACCUUCUAAAUCCUUGGGUCCUGAUUUAUUCAUGGCAUUAGGAAUGCAAAAUGCAAGCAGAGGGAAGUAGGCCAGCAAGAGAAUAGAAAGCAGGGACACAGAGGAAUCACUUUCCUCAUUCCAGCUGAAAACAGGUUGAAAUUGUUAACUCCUUCAGAGCAAGCUGAGGGCAACACUGAAAGGGCAACACUGCCUGAUGUUUAAAGAUGUACAAAUACUUAUCUCCUUACAAAACAAAACCUUGAUUAAUAGAAACACAAAGCAAAUGUGGUUUCAGAAAAGGAACUCAGCUUAACUUGAGCCUGAGGCACCUGCGUCUUCAGAUGGGUAAUGCCCAGGCCACUGUGCCUGAAAGGAGUUAAUGGCUUUGGUCCUGGGAACCUGCCGUUCAGCUGGCGUUUUGGGGAGCAUCUCACCCAGCUAUAAGACAGGUGAACAAGAGGGUUAGAAGAACUACUCAUCCCCCAUUCUUCCUAUCAAGAAAUACCAGCAGUUUCUACGGUACUGUCCUAGCGUGUACACAAGGCAGGAGCCCUACCACUGGCAGAAAGGGGCACGAGAGACAAAUGCUUGAUUCCUUUUGUAACUUAUGAGGAAAUUGGCAGAGCUUGACUACUUUCAUUUCAGUCCUCAGAGCAGAUGCUGUGGUCAACCAAGCUUUGGAGCAUAUGCUUGUAAUAGAAAAUUGCCUACAAAAUUUACCGUGUUAGACAGUAAAGAGCAGGAAAAAAUAAAGAAGAGACAGCAGCACUUUUCUCCCUAAAAGGCUCAUUCUUCCAUGUUAGUGGAAAGGCAGUAGAGGAAAAACGUCACACCUGGAAGAGAAAAAGAAAAUAAGCAUCCAGAUAUGAAAGAAUAACAUACAGAGUUCAUCCCGUGCACCUGAAUAACAAAACUGCACACAAUUUGUUUAAAGACUCAGCACAAAAAGAAGACUGGUGGUGCCACAGCUGCCUUCCGUAACACGAUGCUGUUAUUUCUGAACACAGCGCCUACACAUCAAGGUUAAGGAAAAAGUGAUCUCAGGGAUCAGUAACUAUACAGUGUUCGGUGGAUCAUACAGCAUUCUGCUACAAGCAUCUUUAAAUGCAUUUACAUACACCAGACACCCUUAAGAACCCAGGCACCUUUCACAACUGAAAGGAAGUCUCUGGCACUCACCUUCUGAGCGUUUACAACCACGUGUUAGUGGUGAGAUAACUGCUGGAGACCUCAGUUCAGCUUCAUCCGACUUCUACUUAGCGUUAAAACAGCACAAGAGAAGACACAUUUAUUUUCUUUAAGCAGAGAUCCUGCAAAACGGCAUUUUUGAAGUUUUUUUUU